rnacentral:rRNA from 1 species
CCUACUGGUGGCAGCAGUGGGGAAUAUUGGACAAUGGGCGAAAGCCUGAUCCAGCCAUGCCGCGUGUGUGAAGAAGGCCUUCGGGUUGUAAAGCACUUUCAGUGGGGAAGAAAGCCUUGGGGCUAAUACCCUCGAGGAAGGACAUCACCCACAGAAGAAGCACCGGCUAACUCCGUGCCAGCAGCCGCGGUAAUACGGAGGGUGCGAGCGUUAAUCGGAAUUACUGGGCGUAAAGCGCGCGUAGGCGGUCUGAUAAGCCGGUUGUGAAAGCCCCGGGCUCAACCUGGGAACGGCAUCCGGAACUGUCAGGCUAGAGUGCAGGAGAGGAAGGUAGAAUUCCCGGUGUAGCGGUGAAAUGCGUAGAGAUCGGGAGGAAUACCAGUGGCGAAGGCGGCCUUCUGGACUGACACUGACGCUGAGGUGCGAAAGCGUGGGUAGCAAACAGGAUUAGAUACCCCGGUAGUC